rnacentral:rRNA from 1 species
GGAUAACCUACCCUUAGGACUGGGAUAACCCUGGGAAACUGGGGCUAAUACCGGAUAGGCAAUUAUUCCUGCAAUGGUUUUUUGUUUAAAUGUUUUUUCGCCUAAGGAUGGGUCUGCGGCCGAUUAGGUAGUUGGUUAGGUAAUGGCUUACCAAGCCGUUGAUCGGUACGGGUUGUGAGAGCAAGAGCCCGGAGAUGGAACCUGAGACAAGGUUCCAGGCCCUACGGGGUGCAGCAGGCGCGAAACCUCCGCAAUGUGAGAAAUCGCGACGGGGGGAUCCCAAGUGCCAUUCUUAACGGGAUGGCUUUUCAUUAGUGUAAAGAGCUUUUGGAAUAAGAGCUGGGCAAGACCGGUGCCAGCCGCCGCGGUAACACCGGCAGCUCUAGUGGUAACAAUUUUUAUUGGGCCUAAAGCGUCCGUAGCCGGUUUAAUAAGUCUCUGGUGAAAUCCUGUAGCUUAACUGUGGGAAUUGCUGGAGAUACUAUUAGACUUGAGACCGGGAGAGGUUAGAGGUACUCCCAGGGUAGAGGUGAAAUUCUGUAAUCCUGGGAGGACCGCCUGUUGCGAAGGCGUCUAACUGGAACGGUUCUGACGGUGAGGGACGAAAGUUAGGGGCGCGAACCGGAUUAGAUACCCGGGUAGUCCUAACUGUAAAC